rnacentral:rRNA from 1 species
GAUGAACGCUAGCGGCAGGCUUAAUACAUGCAAGUCGUGGGGCAGCAUGAAGUAGCAAUACUUUAAUGGCGACCGGCAAACGGGUGCGGAACACGUACACAACCUUCCUUUUAGUGGGGAAUAGCCCAGAGAAAUUUGGAUUAAUACCCCGUAACAUAGCGAUGAGGCAUCUCAUUGCUAUUAUAGCUUCGGCGCUAGAUGAUGGGUGUGCGUAUGAUUAGAUAGUUGGCGAGGUAACGGCUCACCAAGUCUACGAUCAUUAGCUGAUGUGAGAGCAUGAUCAGCCACACGGGCACUGAGACACGGGCCCGACUCCUACGGGAGGCAGCAGUAAGGAAUAUUGGUCAAUGGACGAAAGUCUGAACCAGCCAUGCCGCGUGAAGGAUUAAGGUCCUCUGGAUUGUAAGCUUCUUUUAUAUGGGACGAAAAAAGGUCUUUCUAGAUCACUUGACGGUACCAUAUGAAUAAGCACCGGCUAACUCCGUGCCAGCAGCCGCCGUAAAAC